GGGAGGUUGGCAGAGCGGCCGAUUGCGCCCGUCCCGAAAACGGGAGCUCCUUCACCGGGGCCGGGGGUUCGAAUCCCUCACCUCCCU
rnacentral:tRNA from 1 species